rnacentral:rRNA from 1 species
UUAGCGGCGGAGGGAGAGUAACACGUGGGUAACCUGCCCAUAAGACUGGGAUAACUCCGGGAAACCGGGGCUAAUACCGGAUAACAUUUUGAACCGCAUGGUUCGAAAUUGAAAGGCGGCUUCGGCUGUCACUUAUGGAUGGACCCGCGUCGCAUUAGCUAGUUGGUGAGGUAACGGCGGGCCAAGGCAACGAUGCGUAUCCGACCUGAGAGGGUGAUCGGCCACACUGGGACUGAGACACGGCCCAGACUCCUACGGGAGGCAGCAGUAGGGAAUCUUCCGCAAUGGACGAAAGUCUGACGGAGCAACGCCGCGUGAGUGA